rnacentral:rRNA from 1 species
GACGAACGCUGGCGGCGUGCUUAACACAUGCAAGUCGAACGGAAAGGCCCUGCUUUUGUGGGGUGCUCGGGUGGCGAACGGGUGAGUAACACGUGAGUAACCUGCCCUUGACUUUGGGAUAACUUCAGGAAACUGGGGCUAAUACCGGAUAGGAGCUCCUGCUGCAUGGUGGGGGUUGGAAAGUUUCGGCGGUUGGGGAUGGACUCGCGGCUUAUCAGCUUGUUGGUGGGGUAGUGGCUUACCAAGGCUUUGACGGGUAGCCGGCCUGAGAGGGUGACCGGCCACAUUGGGACUGAGAUACGGCCCAGACUCCUACGGGAGGCGGCAGUGGGGAAUAUUGCACAAUGGGCGGAAGCCUGAUGCAGCAACGCCGCGUGCGGGAUGACGGCCUUCGGGUUGUAAACCGCUUUCGCCUGUGACGAAGCGUGAGUGACGGUAAUGGGUAAAGAAGCACCGGCUAACUACGUG